rnacentral:rRNA from 1 species
CCGCCGGCUGCUAAAGCGGAGGAAGGAAUGGGCAACGGUAGGUCAGUAUGCCCCGAAUAUCCCGGGCUACACGCGAGCUACAAUGGUUGGUACAAUGGGUAUCUACCCCGAAAGGGGACGGGAAUCUCCUAAAACCAAUCUUAGUUCGGAUUGAGGGCUGCAACUCGCCCUCAUGAAGCUGGAAUCCGUAGUAAUCGCGUUUCAACAGAACGCGGUGAAUACGUCCCUGCUCCUU